CCCCCCCCCGGGGGGGG
rnacentral:misc_RNA from 1 species